rnacentral:tRNA from 1 species
GCGGCUGUGGUGAAAUAGGCAGACACGCUAGCUUGAGGGGCUAGUUUUCGCAAGGAAGUGCAGGUUCAAGUCCUGUCAGCCGCACCA